AGCUGCACAGAGACUGCAUUUUCAACAAUAUCCACCUAUAAAUACUAAUGAAAGGUCUUUUUCAGGCAAAAUUUAAUUCCACCUGUUUCUACACUGCAUCCCUGAGCGUAACUUUUUCAAAGUUUCAAAGGAAAACCAGGGAGAAUACUAAAAGGAAAAGAAGAUACUUCCACAGAGAGGAAGCACACAUUGGAGGUCCUAAGAGGAAGUAAUGAAUCAUCUUUGGCCUCCCAUGACUUUCUCUUGCUUUCCCAUUUGGGGAGCCUGAGGCAGAGAGUGGAGAAACCAUCCUGAAGCUUGAUUAAAGAUGUAUUACAACUUUACUACAUAAAGACUUUCUUACCCAGUGGAAGUCCUUUCUUAGCACCUGGAUGACCAUCUUAAGCAUCAGCUGCCAUCUUAAG